CGAGAAAAUAGUUUUUUAAAAUUUAAAUAUUCAAAGCUGAGCAAAAACUGCAAUUUUGCUGUAGAAAUGUUUGUUUAGAAGUGAUAGUGAAAGGACUGUGAUAUAAUGUUUCAAGACGAAAGCCAAGAGCCAGUUUCGUUCGACUCUUCUUGGAAGACAAAACGGUAUAAAAAUAAAUUGUGAUGUUUUGAAGCGAAAGUGUUUGUAGUGCAGAAAGUAGUUUUGUUUUGAAAGUUUUAUAAUUAAUGAACAAGGCUUGUGAAGUAGUUAGUUUUAGUUUGUAAUGGUGUGGUUGCUUCGGGUUUUUGUCAAUAGGAAGUGACUGAAAUUAAUUCUUAUAUUCCCGGGGUAUUUACAAAAUUAUGUACUGUACCAAAUGUAUUUUUGCAAAAUUACUAAGUUUGGUAGAGUAGUACGUGUGUGUUUAACCCAUUGAACUAAAAAUAACUGGAACGCUACGUUCAAGCGGAAGUUUGAAGCUAAAUUAUACAAGCUCGUACACAGGCUUUAAAAGGCCCGUUUUAAACUGAAAAGGCCCGUUUUAAACUGAAAAGGCCCGUUUCCCUUUCGAUUCGCAUCUUGACAUGAAAACGUUCAAAACGGCAUGCUUCAAGCGCCCCCUGUAUUGUCUCGCGAGUAAAUCGCGCAGUAGAAACACGCGUGGAAGUGCGUGUCUGGGAGUCAAAACUGGCUUCAUUUGGCUUCAUGGGAGUCAAAUUUUGGCUUCAAAAUUUGCAUGCGCAGUUUACUGAACGUAGCGUUCCAGUUAUUUUUAGUUCAAUGGUUUAACCUGAGUAUCAGGCCGUACUUUUUAGGGCACAGGCAUGCCUGAUCGUGGGCGAAGGGGGUAAAAUAGAGCCUGAUACUCAGGUUAGUGUGUGUUGUUCCCUUCUAUAGGUCUGUCCAGGAUGGUUCAUGCCAAACCAGUGAAAUACUUACAAAUGAAGUUGAAACUCAAGCUUUGAGUAAAAGUGAUGCUAUGGUU